CGUAGGUGGUAGUGUAAGUCUGGGGUGGAAUCCCAGGGCUUAACCCUGGAACUGCCUUGGAAACUGCAUUACUUGAGUCAGUGAGGGGAGGGUAGAAUUCCUGGUGUAGCGGUGAAAUGCGUAGAUAUCAGGAGGAAGGCCUGUGGCGAAGGCGGCCCUCUGGCGCUGGACUGACACUGAGGCGCGAAAGCGUGGGGAGCAAACAGGAUUAGAUACCCUGGUAGUCCACGCCCUAAACGGUGGGCACUAGGUGUAGGGCUCGUAAGGGUUCUGUGCCGAAGGGAAACCAUUAAGUGCCCCGCCUGGGGAGUACGGCCGCAAGGUUGAA
rnacentral:rRNA from 1 species